AUGAUAAAUAAUAAAAAUAAUGAUAUAACAAUAAAAACAGCUUCGAAAACUAAAAACAUAAAGUUACUAAAAGUACCUAAGUUUGUUUCAAAUAAAUGGCUUCAACAUAAAGAUAAAGACAUUGUUGGUUUACUUGACAUAAACAAUGAAGAUAUAUGCAGUUUAUAUAUUCAGAAAGAUGAGAGUGAUGAUGUUAAAAAAUUAAAAUGUAAUAAAAAUAAAAUAGUAAAUACAUAUAUAUUAAAACAAAAUAAAAUAUAUUUCAAUGACAGUACUGAUAAUACUACUACAACUACUGAUAUUAAUACUACUACUACUACUACUACCACUACUACUACUAGUAAUAAUAAUAAUAAAAAUGUAACUAAUACAUCAAAUAAUAAUGCGAGUAAUAAAUCAAAUGAAAAUAUUAUUCAAAAUAAAAUUAAUACAAAUAUAAAUAACUCUGAUGAAAAUAACAAUGAACAAGGAGAUAAAGAAAAAAAUUCUAUUUUAUGUACAAAUAUUAUAAAAUGCUGUGAUAAUACAUAUGCAUUUUUACCAACAUUGGAUGCUGAUUAUUCAUCAGUUUUAAAAGAAAGGCAUUAUAAAACAAAUGUUAAAAAGGAUAGGUAUACAAUAAUAGAAACGAGAAAUGAAGAACAUAUUGAUUCAACUCAUACUUUGUUUAAAUAUUAUACACCUGAUGAUAUUACAAAUAAUAUUAAUACUAAUACCACUAAUAAUAAUAAUAAUACCACUAAUAAUAAUAAUAAUAAUAACACCACUAAUAAUAAUAAUAAUAAAAAUAUAAAAAGUGGUAAAAGAACAUAUGAUGAAAUUAAUAAUUUUAAUACUAAUAGUGAUACUAAUAAAAAUAUUAAUACAUAUAUUAUUAAUUCGAAUAACUCUUAUAAUAAUAUUAAUACUAGUAGUAGUAAUAUGAAUAACACAAGUGUAAUGCCAGUAAUCACUUCAAAAUAUAAAAUGAAACAAUCUAAAAAAAUGAAUGUUAUCGACUUAGAUAAAACAAAAAUUAGUAUGUUUAAAAUGUUUGAAAACGAAGGUAAAAAGGGAGUACCUUUUUCUUUAUUUACCAAAAACUUCAACAUACCUACUAAUUAUAUAAAAAAUAUAUUAGAAGAAAUAGCCGUAAAAAGAAAAAGACCUACAGAUAAAAAACCUGUAUACUUUUUAAAGGAUUAA
rnacentral:lncRNA from 1 species